AAAUAGCGAGUGAGGAGGACAUUACCGAGUAACUUGAACUGGGUUGUCGCUGGCCUUCUAGUAUAGGAGGCAUUGUGCACGCCUAGCUUCAAUUAAACUCUUAAACCCCUUGUGCACUUAUGGUAGGCUUUUGGAUGGCGAAAGCCAUUCAAGGCCUGCAUUUAUCACACACUAUAAACCAGUAUUAGAAUGUAUACACUGCGGAUUUAUAACGCAUUUAUAUACAACUUUCAGCAACGGAUCUCUUGGCUCUCGCAUCGAUGAAGAACGCAGCGAAAUGCGAUAAGUAAUGUGAAUUGCAGAAUUCAGUGAAUCAUCGAAUCUUUGAACGCACCUUGCGCUCCUUGGUAUUCCGAGGAGCAUGCCUGUUUGAGUGUCAUGAUAUUAUCAACCUAACUGGCCUUUGCGGGUUUUGUUAGGCUUGGACUUGGAGGAUUAAAGUGCGGGCUCUUUUUUAAUAAAGGAGUCUGCUCCUCUUAAAUGCAUUAGCUUGAUUCCUUGCAGAUCAGGCUUGUUGGUGUGAUAAUGUCUACACCACAGCCGUGAAGCAUUUAUUGAGCUUCUAGCCGUCCUACUUACUAGGGACAUUAUAAUUGACCUCUGACCUCAAAUCAGGUAGGACUACCCGCUGAACUUAAGCAUAUCA
rnacentral:rRNA from 1 species